CAAAGGUGGGAAGAGGUAGUUCCUAUUCUGGUUGAUCUAGGAGAGGAUGAUGGCGUUGGGCAAGUCUUGUGCUGCUUAGAGGGUCGAAGCGGCUUCAGGGAGACAAAGAGAAUGCCAAGAAGAGCACUGUGGACAAGAGAAUGAGAAACUGCUUUAAAAUGUAAAACAAGCCAUCAAUCAAAAUCUUCCACUUCCUCCAGAGAGUGUAAAAACUUUUCUCUUUCUUCAGCUGAUGAGAGACAAGAGAGAAUUAUAAGAGCAAAGCUUUCAGCUGGAAAAAAAUAAGAGUGUCUAGAAGUCAAGGAAACAUUACAUGAGAAGUCAAGGAGGAUAAUUUAUCAGUAAAGAACACCUGGAAGCCAGUGGGAAGAAAAAGAUUUGGGGGGUAGCCAAAACUGGAAGGCAUUAAUUAAAGCCUUUGAGAAAACAAAGAGUAGCUUGAAUCAAAGAACCAUCAGCUAAGAGAUCAGAAAUAUUGUUGGCCUCCU